ACCGUUUUCUUCUGGUGUUUAGAGUUCAUUUAGUGUCUAGCACCAUUUGAAAUCGGUUA
ensembl:miRNA gmo-mir-29a-3 gmo-mir-29a-3